rnacentral:lncRNA from 1 species
GGAGACUAUGCAAAAGUCUUUCUCCUUUUUUCCGUGGAAGUAGAAAGUGAUUCCGUCUGCGCCGACGAAUCUUGGAUCUUGGCAAACUGCUCCGGGUUUGUUGCACUCUGUUUUUUCAACACAGUUGAGUGAGAAAAAAUAAUAAUUAUAUAAAAAAAAAAGAUUUACGAAUUUCAACAAAAAAGAAAGAUAGAAAAGGGGGUUGUGAUUGAGCAAAUUACUUACCGCAGACGGGGCUGCAGCUGACACAAUCAACCUCGCAUUGAUCGGGACAAGAAACGGGGCAGCGGUGCUCCUGCAAGAAACAGUUGGGGA